rnacentral:rRNA from 1 species
CAGAAUCCCGCCUAGACGUAACGAUACCGUAGCGCCGCGGAUCUUCGGUUGGCCCCGGAUAGCCGGGCCCUCGGGCCCGGUGAGCAGAGCCGUUCGUGAAAGGGCUGGGGCGCGGCCCGACAACGGUCGCCCCUCUCCUCUCUCGCACCGCAUGUUUGUGGAGAACCUGGUGCUAAAUGACUUGCAGACGACCUGAUUCUGGGUCAGGGUUUCGUGCGUNNNNGAGCAGCUUCCCUCGCUGCGAUCU